AUUGAACGCUGGCGGCAUGCCUUACACAUGCAAGUCGAACGGCAGCACGGGAGCAAUCCUGGUGGCGAGUGGCGAACGGGUGAGUAAUAUAUCGGAACGUGCCCGGUCGUGGGGAUAAUGUAGCGAAAGCUACGCUAAUACCGCAUACGAUCUAUGGAUGAAAGCGGGGGAUCGCAAGACCUCGCGCGAUUGGAGCGGCCGAUAUCAGAUUAGGUAGUUGGUGAGGUAAAGGCUCACCAAGCCGACGAUCUGUAGCUGGUCUGAGAGGACGACCAGCCACACUGGGACUGAGACACGGCCCAGACUCCUACGGGAGGCAGCAGUGGGGAAUUUUGGACAAUGGGCGCAAGCCUGAUCCAGCAAUGCCGCGUGCAGGAUGAAGGCC
rnacentral:rRNA from 1 species